rnacentral:ribozyme from 1 species
CGCAGAGGGGCAUGCGUCGCCCGCACGGGACGCGUGCUAAUGCGGCGGAGCCGGUCCCAAGCCCGG